CCCGCUGAACUUAAGCAUAUCAAUAAGCGGAGGAAAAGAAACUAACAAGGAUUCCCCUAGUAACUGCGAGUGAAGCGGGAAAAGCUCAAAUUUUAAAUCUGGUGGCCCCGCCGCCCGAGUUGUAUUCUGGAGAAGCGUCUUCCGCGCCGGACCGUGUACAAGUGCCUUGGAACAGGACGUCACAGAGGGUGAGAAUCCCGUCUUUGACACGGACCCCCGGCGCUCUGCGAUGCGCUCUCGAAGAGUCGAGUUGUUUGGGAAUGCAGCUCAAAACGGGUGGUAAAUUCCAUCUAAAGCUAAAUAUUGGCGAGAGACCGAUAGCGAACAAGUACCGUGAGGGAAAGAUGAAAAGAACUUUGGAAAGAGAGUUAAACAGUAUGUGAAAUUGCUGAAAGGGAAACGCUUGAUGUCAGUCACGUUGGCUAGGGAUCAACCUUGCUUCUCGCUGGGUGUAUUUCCUAGUGGACGGGUCAGCAUCAGUUUCGGUCGCUGUACAAGGGCAAAGGGAACGUGGCACUCCUUGGAGUGUGUUAUAGCCUUUCGUCGUAUGCAGUGGUUGGGACUGAGGAACUCGGCACGAAAUCUAUUUUGUGCUUAGGAUGCUGGCAUAAUGGCCUUAAGCGACCCGUCUUGAAACACGG
rnacentral:rRNA from 1 species